rnacentral:lncRNA from 1 species
ACACUCGCUCAGCUGUGGCCACAGCUAACCAACGUUCAGUCAUGAAGCUCUUGGUGUUUGUGAUCCUGGCGGCGGCCGCUUGCGCUUCUGUGAUUGAGAGCGAGAUGCGGAGCCCAGUUACGUGACGAGCAAUUACGGUAGUGCUUACCCACCAUACAGUCACCGUUACCACAAUGGAAAGAGGUCUGCCGAGCCAGAGCCUGAACCGUCAUACCCAAUUUACUCUUACGACUCACGACUUGGUUAUGGCCGAAAUUACAACAAGAGGUCUGCCGAACCAAAGACUGAACCAUCGUAUCCUGUCUACUACGCUCCUCGUCACGUUUAUAUCCGCCAUUUCUACAAGAGAUCUGCCGAACCAGAGCCUGAACCGUCGUAUCCUGUCUACUACGCUCCCCGUCACGGUUAUGGCCCCCAUUUCUACAAGAGGUCUGCAGAUCCUGAACCAUCCUACUCAGUCUUAUCCUAUUACGGUUACCGGCCAGGCAACGCUUAUAGCCACCACCUUUACUAGACUUCUGCUAAUCCAAAUGACACCAUCUAUACCUACAUUAAGGCCUACGAGACACCAAAGCAUCUCAACAAUAAUUUUUCAGAAUAUGAUGCCUACAUUACAAACAAUUGCAAAGAUCCCAUUCAUCGCCAGGAUUACUACACUAUGAUAUCCAUGAGCUGAAUUAUAAAUUUAAUUAUACAACAAGAUCAGUGUUGCUUUGACGAUUGUUAUGUUCUACAACAAAGAAAUAUAUCUAUAUAAUGAC